GAUGAACGCUGGCGGCGUGCCUAAUACAUGCAAGUCGAGCGAACAGACCAUGCGCUUGCUCCUCUGACGUUUGCGGCGGGCGGGUGAGAAACACGUGUAUAACCUACCUAUCUUACUGGUAUAACUUCGGGAAACCGGAUAUUAUCCCGGAUAAUCUCUUGAACCGUAUUGGUCGUUGGAGAAUGUCGGCUUUGGGGUCUCGAAUCGCUGCUUACGAGCUGCAUUAGCUAGUUGUGAAGUUAACGGCUUACCACGGCAACGAUGCGUAGCCGACCUGAUAGGGGGAUCGGCCACACUGGAACUGGGCCGCGGUCCAGACUCCUACGGGAGGCAGCAGUAGGGAAUCUGCCGCAGUGGGCGAAAGCCUGACGGAGCAACGGCGCGUGAGUGAUGAAGGUCUUCGGAGCGGAAAACUCUGUUAUUAGGGAAGAACAAAUGUGUAAGUAACUAUGCACGUCGUGACGGUACCUAAUCAGGAAGCCACGGCUAACUACGUG
rnacentral:rRNA from 1 species